AAGCUCCAGCUCUUGCAUGUCUGACACCGUGAGGUGAGCCAUUGCUGGACCCAAGAAAGCCAAACACAGGUCAUAGACCUCCAAGCUGAGAAAUCCUGGAUGUACUGGAACUAACUAGAAGGAAGAAGAUGGUAGCUGGGUAAAGAAGCAAACAUGCUCCAAGCAUAAUCAUAGCAAUUAUUUCCACCCAAAGUGGAAAAUACAAUAUCUUACUUUCUUUGUGAUGGGAACUCUGAGAGGUCACAUUAUAUGUUUCAGGCAUAGCACAAUAUGUACCCUUAAAGUGAUGUUUCAGUUUGUGGCAAAAUAUGUACCUUAACAAAUACUAACUGAUAAAGAGCAGAGUUUAAAUUGAUUGAUUUCAAGCAGAAUCCAACAUACAUAUCCAGCUUCUUAAUUAUGAACAGGGAAAGGAUUCAGGAAGAAAAUCAUGUACAUUUAUAUGCAAUCACAAGGAGGGAGAGAAAAUACUGGGUGGACUGAUACUUUGUUUUUCCUUCUUGUACUACAGCUCCUGCACAGCAGCAUGGUUUUUCACAUGCUUUGCCCAUAGGGCCUCAAUCUCCUCUUUUAAAAAGCAACAUUAUGACUACAAAUGAGCUUUGACCUGAGACCAUCAGUCUGGGAAUAUCUCUAGAACUCACCUGGACAGAGCUUUCUGCUUCCAGGGAGAAAAACAAAAACAAACCCAAAAAACAGUGAAUAAGGAAAUACACAAGAAACGGAAAACUGGGGUUCUAUGCUGACUCUGCAAUUAUAUUCCUAUGUGACCUUGGGCAAUCACUUUAUUUCUCAGUUCCUUUAUUAAAUGAGGGGUUGGGACAGACAAAAUCUAAAAUUCUUUCCAGCUCUAAUGGUUUGUGAGUCCAAAAAUAAGCUGACAGGAGGGUAUGGGAAAAUUUUUGUUUGAUUUAAAAAUAAAAGUGAGAAAUAAAGAGAUUGUCCUUUGGGACUUUUCAUGCUUCUAAUCUGUUUUGUGUAUGUAAAUGUCAUGUCAGUCCCUUACUCAAAAAUUUUAAAUGAAAAAAAAAAUUUUUUUAAAUC